rnacentral:rRNA from 1 species
UGACCUCGGAUCAGGUAGGAAUACCCGCUGAACUUAAGCAUAUCAAUAAAGCGGAAGA